CCUCGGCGCGGCCCGGCAGCUCCUGCGGUGUGGUGCGGGGAGCGCGGCCACCGCUGCACUCCCGGAGUAGCUAGUGGUCGUUCCAGGUGCGGGUCCUUAGGGAGGGGAUCCGUGCCUCCCGCAGGAGGGUUAGUGCCCACCAGGAAAGUAAGGUGGCAGCUGGGGGCUGGCACUGAGCUCCAUCGGAACUGGGGCAAAUUUAGAUCGUCGUGCACUUUGCACGCCUGUGAAGUGCAGGAUCGGGGCUCUGCGGCCGUGCUGCCAUUGAAGAUAAUGGACAGAAAAGGCAGACCUUCUGGUGUGUGUGCCGUGGUGACUCGUCAAGCGCUGGAAGCAUGCCGCAGCUCUCAAUCUUCGCCUCAGCCAGUGCAGUGCAAAGGAGAAACAAGCCUCUGCAGAAAACAGGGUAUCUGCGACCCGUUGUUCGUGUGUUUGAGAGCAUCAGGAAGCUGCUUACCACAGGAAUUGGUCGCAGUUAUAAGCAUUGAGGGUGUGUUCCCUUUCAAGGCAGAGUCAAGGACAGUCAAGAACUUCUGUGUGAACAGCACCUGAUUGCUGCAGGAAACAACUGUACUUAAGAGAAACAGUGCAUGUGAUGUACUUCCAAAUUUCUUAUGUUUGCAGUAGUUCAUACUAUCACAUCAACCCAACAAUUCAGUUCCCUUGGAUAUUUCAAAGUUUUGACUUGGGACUGAGAGUGCUAACCAAUCUGAAAAAUUCCCUGAGGAAAAGAGAUUAUCUGCUGCAUGUGGGUGUAGCUGCAGCCUCUGCACAGAAAACUCCAACGCAAAGGAGAUGUCACAGCGGGAUAAGAAAACUGAUGAAAGCAAUAGUGCUUCGCAGAAGCUUGGCACUUUAGCUGGACUCUAAACCUAACUGUCAUUGUGUGAUCCACAGCACUAUUAUAAACAGGUUGUGAAACCUUCAAUCAGUGAUGAGACUUCUGAAAUGAGGAAAAAAAAAUUACACAGCCAUGAGAAUAAGUAAAUAAACACCAACCAUGAGAAAACGUUGAGGUUACUGCAGCACUAAAUGCCUCAUCUUUAUUUUAGC